rfam:Thiomonas intermedia K12, complete genome.
GUGUUCCUCACUGGAGAGUGGCGCUGAAAUUGAGCGCUCACCGAAGGGGCAAGUCUGGCAACUCGGGUUCGCCGGAUCAAUCUCUCAGGUACCCAGGACAGCGAGGGGUUG